GGCGAGGUAGCUCAGUUGGUUAGAGCACACGGCUCAUAUCCGUGGGGUGGGGGGUUCGAGUCCCUCCCUCGCUA
rnacentral:tRNA from 1 species